rnacentral:rRNA from 1 species
CAGUCGCCGCGGGAAUACGAAGGGUGCAAGCGUUAAUCGGAAUUACUGGGCGUAAAGCGCGCGUAGGUGGUUCAUUAAGUUGGAUGUGAAAGCCCUGGGCUCAACCUGGGAACUGCAUCCAAAACUGGUGAGCUAGAGUACGGUAGAGGGUAGUGGAAUUUCCUGUGUAGCGGUGAAAUGCGUAGAUAUAGGAAGGAACACCAGUGGCGAAGGCGACUACCUGGACUGAUACUGACACUGAGGUGCGAAAGCGUGGGGAGCAAACAGGAUUAGAUACCCCCGUAGUCCCUGUCUCUUAUAC